rnacentral:sRNA from 1 species
AUAUUAUAUUGAGUAUUUAUGUUUGUCUACAUUAGAUCUCAUGUUCCUGUUUUGAUAUUAAUGUGUUUUGUUUGUUAAAGAAACAAGUUUGGAUGGAUUGGUUAUAUAUAUGUCACUGGUUAUUGUACCAGUAUCUUAAGAUGUUACUAAAUGUUGUAGAUUGUUACACGGGAUUUGUUUAAUUCCAGUUUUAUUUUCCUGUUAUUUAUUUGUUUAAUGUGUAGUGUAAUAUUUAUCAGAGUUCAUUAAGUCAACAACUUAAAAAAUAAUACCCACUGCACAUUAAGAACCUUUUUAACAAGACCUUGGACUUUCAGUAGAAUAUGUAACAAUCCAUUUCUUGUGUCAAAACAAGUUAAAAUGACGCUGGUUUCAAGCGAAAUAUACACUGAUUGUGUAGUCUUUGCUAAAAAGCCAGACAAAUCCUGAUGAUUUCAAAGAGCCAUGGCCUACAAUGAAAUAGACAGGCCAACGUCACAUUGCUAUUUGACACAAGUACCUAAAGUCCAAGCUCUUCUUAAAAUAGUUCUAUUAGAUUUUUAUUUAUUUAUUUGUACAUGAGCAUAAAACAUUAAUGUUCGUGGGGGACCAAUGUUCGUGACUUUCGUGGGUAACCCUUGCCCAUGAAUUUACAUCCCCAUUAUUAAAAUUAUCCUGAACUUCUACCAACGAAAUUACGUCCCCACACACCAGGAAAAAUUUUGUUCCCCAUGAACAUUGAUCCUCAUGAAUAAAAAUGAAUUUUACUUCAAUAUAAGUAAUAAAAAACUUUGAUAUUAUAAUAAAUGUAUGAAUAAAAGCAAAUUUAUUCAUGUGUUGAAAGCAAUUAUCUUUUAUAACAAUUAUUUUGAGGUUACACUAUUAAUUAAACAAAUAUUGACAUGCAUUAGUUGUUGAGGGUAAUAUUGAUGUUAGCUCUUGUGGGAUGAAAUAUUACCCAAUGCAAAGCUGAAUUGAACUGUAAUUUGAUUUAAAAAUUUCACAAAGUACAAUUCUAUACUAAAAAUUAAUUUUAUUGUAAGUUAUCAAUGCUAAGAUUUUUUGUUUUGUCAAACAGUGUUGUACAUUAAAUAUGUAUAUCAUAAAUGCAAAUUAAUACCCAUGGUUUAUCAUUUUCAGUAUAAACCAAACAGAUUAUUGCACAGUUAAUAAAUCUAUGUAGAAUUAUCUUUGGGUAGUAUGAAGGCUUGGAAUGUUGUUAUAAAUGUAGGUAUACAUGUAUAUGUAACAGGUUAAGUUUAAUGGUGCAAUACUAAGUAUUAAAUGUUAUUUGAAAUC